CUAAUUCUAAACCCACCAACAGAGGCCCAAUUGGAAGCCCCUCUUCUCUUUCAAUACUAAAAACCUAGUUAGUCUUCUUCUUAACCCAUAGAACAUCGAGACAACAAUGGAGCACAAGAAUCCUAGAGAGAAGUCAGCCGCAGAGAACAAAAAAAUAACCCCCCAUCUGAACCCGCCGUCCUCCAGCCAUCGUCCCACCAAACAACCACCCAUAUUCCUCAACUCCAAACAACCAUAGUCGACCACCUUCCUCACUCCACUAUCACAGCGGAAACAGAAACCAGCGCCGCCUCCCAAACCAGCAGCUGUCACCGCUCUUCUUCUUCACAACGAGCAGCGUUGUUGCCGCUGCUACUUCACCUCACUCACGACCAACCCAGCCUCCAACUCGCCGGAAAAACCGUUCUCACCACCCAUCCCCACCCCCAGCCAGCUCUCCAUUCAACCAGACCACCCCAUACGACGAGCUUCAGUCCGGUUGUGGAGAGAAAGAAGAAGCUGAAAACAGAGGGGAACAGCCAGAUUUCAUAUUUCACCUUCCAAAAAUGGAAAUUGUUUGAGGUGGUUUAAGGUCCGUUCGAGGCCGUCGUUCGGGUUUCCGUUGCCGCGCAUGAUUUCUGAUACAUGUUUCUCUUCCAAUUAGCUCAAGGAUUUGAGGUUCAAUCUUUUACCACUUUGUUAUUCCCUUUCCGGUAAUGUCGUUUGUUUAGAUCUUCUAUUUUUGUGCCCAGUGUGAGAACUUUUAUAUCUACCAUGAUAAAUGUGUAUAAUUAUGUGUUCUUUGAUUGUUAGUUUGGUAUAAUAAAGUAGCAAGGUCGGUUGUUGGGAUUGAUUAAAGAAAUUUAUUAGAUGGAGUUGAUUUAAGAAAACUUGUGUGAUUGGAGUUGAGUCCAUUACAGAUUAGGUACGGAACAAAUGGGUUAUGGGAAUUGGCUUUUAAAAAAGUGAAGGAAAUUAGCCUUUGAAUGAUCUUGAUGCUUUUAUUCUACUUGUUUAUUAAUUAGAUCGCUAUUAAUAUGCCUAAGGCGAUCACACUCGGGUAGGCAAGCCUUGUGAUUUUCUUAUAUUUGAGGUGAGAGGUCGUUCCCGA
rnacentral:lncRNA from 1 species